AGAGCCGCGCACCAAGCCGAUGGCGGUGGACGCAGCAGGGCCCCGCGGUCUGAGUGCGGGCAGGCGCGCGUGGGCGUGUCUCCCUGGCCCACGCGUGUCCCCGGCAUCAGUGUCUCGGCUCUGGUCCAGGACGAAGACUUCUGAAAGCGAGCCAAGGAGAAUCACAGUUCUUAACGGAGCCCCUGACUGCCCGGUGGAAGGAGGUGAUUUAGAAGACAGUGAGUUGAUCUGGGGCAAAGUGAAGCAUCAGUAGCGCCUUCCAUCCCUUCACCUCACCUGGAUCUCUUCACUUCACUCCACGUCUGUCGUCUCCCAUGCAUGAAGCAACAUGGCCAAGUGAAGCUGCAACCAGUAAAGUGUAAGGUAUCAAGUAGUGACAAUGAUGGUGUCAAAUAAUUGCUAUUUUUAGACUCAGCUACUGUUCCCAUCGAGAUGCAAAGGACACAGAGCUCACGGGUGCUCCAGCAAUGCUGGUGUCAUGUUUGGAGGUAGCUGUCUAUGGACUACAGUAUUCUCCCAGUGCUAGUCUGCAGUCACUGCAAAGCACAGGAUGUUUCUUGGCUUCAAACCAUUUGGAUAAGUGAUGGCAGCAAGCUUCGCCACUGUAAAGUCACCUCUUUGUAAGAAGACAGGAGCUCUUUGUAAAGAAUAUGAGACCUGAGGCUGGGGGAUGGCUGAGAAGGGAAAAGCACCUCUGCACAAGCGUGAGAAAAGGAGUUUGUUCUUCCACAUCCAUGUAGAAAUCUUGAUGCCGUGCCGUGAACCCCAGCUCUCCUACGGGAAGAUGGGAGGCGUAGACAGGAGUUCAUCUGGAAGCUUGAGGCCAGCCACCCAGAUCCUCAGAGCUGCAGACAAAAGAGAGGCCCUGCAGCAAAAGAGUGGAAGGUGAGAACCAACUCCGGAAAGUUGCCCUCUGACCUUUACAAGUGUAUACAUCCACACACAUACAAUAAAAUCAAUUGCUCAAUCACGUA
rnacentral:lncRNA from 1 species